UUCAAGUCUGCUGACAAUCUGUAAUGGUCGCUCGUUUGAUUGAAGGACUAACUGAAAUAUGGUGUCAGAUGCCUGAAACAGGCCUCCGGUUGAGAUGCGUCUCCACAACCUCCGUCUUUUCUUGUUAUCUCCUCUGUAUCAGUUAUUCAGGAAUGAUUAAUCCACAGAGCUGGCUGAGCUCCAGUGUGCUGGGAUGAAGACAUGGCCAGCGGAGGGUGGGUCAGGGCAGGGGUGGAGGUUGGACGUGACAGGAGUGGUGCCAUCAGCAGGAGGCAGCUCAUGGACUAACAGCAGCUGUCUGACCUCAGCCUUGGCAGUGCCCCAGUUUCCCAACAAACACCAAUGAAGAACACACUAAAGCUAGACCUCGCGAUCAGUAUGGACAGCAGCAGCCACAUGCCAAUUCAUUUGCCCUUUCACUUGAAAAAGAGUCCACUCCUGACUUUCUGAAUUCGGGACCAGGAUGAAAAGCCCAUUCUGAACAUUUUCUUUUCUGUGAUUUCAUUAUAUUUUUAUUGGACCACAUAUAUUUUUAAUGUGGCAGUGUGAUAUCCCCUGCAAGGUUAGAUAUGGUGCAUUGUUCAAAGAGUGAAACAGCAGCUUUUGGCUAUAGCAGUGCAGUACAGUGCUUUCACUUCAGUAACACAGGAUGAGAAUUGUAUUGCAAAACGUGCAUGCAAAUGCGCAUGAGUGCGCACAUACGCAUGAUGAAAAAUUAUUAAUGCCAAAGUGAAAUGCCAGAGCCUGCACACACAUGAAAUACAAUGCACAUGUGAAGAUUAAUGUACCGCUAACCUGAUUUGCUUCUUGCUUCUAGUCAGCUGCAUCGCAUUUCUCUUUGUGUAUUGCUUUUUGCUUUGGGAAUAUUGCUUUUUGAUGACUGCAUAUUGCAUUUUGCUUCAUGUAUUGAGAUUUAAAUUUGAACGUAUUGCUUUUCAAAGUCUGUAUCUGUCAAUCACUCUCCAGGGGUGGGCUGGGCACUGAGGAGUGGUCCAGCCCCCUUUUUCUUGAUUUUUCCAUUUCUUUUUCAGUUCUCAUUUAUCAGUCAUUCCUCGAGCCAAAAUAUUAAUUUCAAAAUUAGACAGACAGCUUGUACACAUUCGUGCCAGAAACAGUAACAAAGAAAUAAUUGUGCGGAACAUGAGCAUUUUUCGUCUGAUCAUACCCUAGCCACUCGCAAUCUAACCACUUUUCAUUGAACAACUUGUUCUUUUACUUUGCCUGCUCUUGUUAUUUCCUGUCCUUGUCCUCAUUUCUCUUUUUUUGUUGUCUGAUCGAUUGUUUCUCCUGGUCUUUUCACACCCAAUAUAUGCUGCCACCUUGUAACAUUUUUACUGUCAUAUUAGCUUGCUGGCUAAUGUUAGCUAGAUAAUGUUAGGUGGCCAGCAGCAUUUGUUCAACUUUCACACACUGACUGACGAGGCAAGACGCAAGAGGGUGAAACGGACGGGCCAAUGGGAUGAGCACACAGUGUGCACCCAGUGCUCAUGGGAUUUGCCUUUUAUAAACUACAAUGAUUUUUUAAAAUAGAAAAUGCUACCCAAAGAUCACCCAUGAAAAUGGUUGGUAAGUGUAACAAAGUUAACACCAAAUUCUACCCAAUUCUACCCCC